CAGGCCUGCCUGGGUCACACCACCUUCUGCUGCCCCAGACCUCCUGGCUCUCGGUUCAGGCUGCCGUGCCUCUGUGCUGCACCACCUGGGGUCCCGGUGAGUGGGGGCACUUCGGUGAGGGUGAGAGGGUGGCCUGUCUCAAGGGAGGAGGGCCACUUUCCUGAAAGUUUACUGGGGCCAGUUUGUACCAGUUCAGAUUCCGCCUGUUUUCAAGAUGGCAGUCCCAAACCCAACAACUGUUGGCCACUCUGAAAGCAGGAGCCCCUGGUGCUCCUAGAGAGUGGCCCAGAGGAGCUGCGCCAGGGCGUCGAGAGGAGGGUACCAGGGGGCUGCAGGGGUCUCUCCACUCUGCAGGGGCCCAGACUGCCUGCAGGUCAGGCACAGGAGCAUCUACCUAGACAGGACAGCAGGGUGGACCCCAGUUUGGAAGCUGAGCCCCCAGCCAUGAACAUGGAUCUGAGGAGGGGCCCUUGGGUCGGGCCCUGGAAACGACACAUGGCAGCCCACAGGCCGCGACAGACGCUGGAUGCCCUCCUACCGCCAGACACCUCCCCAGAGGCCUUGGACCUCCUUAGGCAACUCCUGGUGUUCGCCCCGGACAAGCGGUUAAGCGCGACCCAGGCACUGCAGCACCCCUACGUGCAGAGGUUCCACUGCCCCAGUGACGAGUGGGCACGAAAGGCAGAUGUGCGGCUCCGGGCACACGAAGGGGUCCAGCUCGCUGCACCUGAGUACCGCAGCUGCGUCUAUCAGAUGAUCCUGGAGCGUGGAGGCAGCAGCGGCACCUCGAGAAAGAAGGGCCCGGAGCGUGUCUCCCGGAGCCAGGCACACGUGCACAAACCCAGAGCCGACCCUCAGCUGCCUUCUGGGACACGUGUG
rnacentral:sRNA from 1 species